rnacentral:rRNA from 1 species
GAUGAACGCUGGCGGCGUGCCUAAUACAUGCAAGUCGAGCGAAGCGGGGACGGGUGAGUAACACGUGGAUAACCUCCUAUAAGACUGGGAAAACUUCGGGAAACCGGAGCUAAACCGAAUACUUAUUUAUGGAUCCACGCUGCAUUAUCUAGUUGGUAAGGUAACGGCUUACCAACGCAACUAUGAAUAGCCGACCGUAGCGGUGGGUCGGCACCACUGGAACUGAGACACGGUCCAGACUCCUACGGGAGGCAGCAGUAGGGAAUCUUCCGCAAUGGUCGAAAGUCUGACGGAGCAACGCCGCGGUGGUGAUGAAGGUCUUCGGAUCGUAAAACGCUGUUAUUAGGGAAGCGGUACCUAAUCAGAAAGCCACGGCUAACUUCGUGCCAGCAGCCGCGGUAAUAC